CAGCCGCCGCGGUAAUACGAAGGUCCCGAGCGUUGUUCGGAAUCACUGGGCGUAAAGGGAGCGUAGGCGGCGUGGUAAGUCAGAUGUGAAAUCCCGGGGCUCAACCCCGGAACUGCAUCCGAUACUGCCGUGCUAGAGGAUUGGAGAGGUAGCUGGAAUUCUUGGUGUAGCAGUGAAAUGCGUGGAGAUCAAGAGGAACACUCGUGGCGAAAGCGAGCUACUGGACAAUAUCUGACGCUGAGGCUCGAAGGCCAGGGUAGCGAAAGGGAUUAGAUACCCCCGUAGUCCCUGUCUCUUAUAC
rnacentral:rRNA from 1 species